GUGCUCACUUUGGCAGCACAUAUACUAAAAUAGGAAUGAAACAGAGAAGAUUAGCAUGGCCCUUGCACAAGGAUGACAUGCAAAUUCAUGAAGUGUUCCAUACUUAA
ensembl:snRNA U6 U6 spliceosomal RNA